CUUUGCACGAGGGCAGUGCUGCUGGUCUGUUCAAUAAUUUAUGUGCUUAAUAUCAGAGGGUAGCACUGGGGGAAGGUCCCUGUUGCUGCAGGCCAAAGGAUGAAGCAUCCUUCCAAGAGAGACGGUCUGAUUGCAGGGAGCCCUUACGGCAUUCAUGAAGCACACCAAGAUGCAUUGGUUUUAAUGGGGAUGCGAUCUCUUAAUUACCACAGCCUGCUGAAGAGAUCCCAGUACAAAACCUCCGUGUACACUCAAGCCCCUGCCUUCAAGCAGGACCCAGCCAGGCUUUGAAGGGUUUUCAAAAAAAAAAAAAAAAAAAAAAAAAAAAAAAAAAAAAAAAAAAACUCCAAUCCAGCAGUUAAAUCAGUGUCUCAGCCCUGCUCAGAGGAUGUGUAGGAUCAGGCCUUGCUUAUCUCCUUCCCCCUCCCCAGCCCUGCCUUCACACUAACCUACUUUCUUGCUUCGUGGAAAGAACAUCUUGGAUUAUGGUGCUGCAAAUGAAAGGAUUCAGUCAUUGCAUCAGGCGAGUCGCAGAUGCAAGUCCUGCAAAUGGGGAAGACCUAAUUUAUGUGCACCUUUGGAUUAACAAGUUCACAGCAUUCUCUCAAGGAACCAACUUCUUCUCCAGGGAAACAUGGUUCUCCCCAGCCCUGCAUGAGGUCUCCAGCUAUGAGCCCAGCCAGAAGAAGCAUCGGGGGUGCAGGCAAGAGGAAAUGCAAUGCUACCCAUUCUGGCAGCUUGGCUGUCUCCUGGUGUGUCUCAGGCUGAGUGACCAUGACAUGGGCCACCAGCACGGACUGUCCUCCCGAGGAAGGUGCAGAGGUGGAAAGAUGGAAAAGGGUUGUGAGCAGUGGCAGCUCUGGGGGGAGCAGAGGAGGUGGCAGGCCUGGUGGGAAGCUCAUUUUGGAUCACGCUCACCCAUGACCAUCUUCCUCAUCCAAAGCAAAUGCAAUGAAAAUAUUGCUGAGGGGAAAAAAAAUAAAA